rnacentral:rRNA from 1 species
UACGUAGGGUGCAAGCGUUGCCCGGAUUUAUUGGGCGUAAAGAGCGCGCAGGCGGUCGUUCAAGUCGCGUGUGAAAGCCCCCGGCUCAACUGGGGAGGGUCACGCGAUACUGAUCGACUCGAAGGCAGGAGAGGGUAGUGGAAUUCCCGGUGUAGUGGUGAAAUGCGUAGAUAUCCGGAGGAACACCAGUGGCGAAGGCGGCCGCCUGGACCUGACCUGACGCUGAGGCGCGAAGGCGCGGGGAGCGAACGGG